rnacentral:rRNA from 1 species
AUGCUUAUUGACCGAUUUCCCGGAGAAGAAAAGGUCUAUUACAGUUUUGACUCAUUGGUUGAUGAUCCACAUAAUCACUAUCAACCUGAGUUCCUAAAUUCACUCACACCUAAUGGCCUUCCUCUUCAUAUUCUCAGAUUGAAGAUCAACUGCCCUGUUAUUUUGAUUCGCAACCUUGAUCCUUCUAAUGGUUUAUGCAAUGGUACAAGGCUUAUCAUUAAGGCAUUUCAAGAGAACGCUAUUGAUGCAGAAAUUAUUGGCGGACAAUAUGCUGGGAAGCGAGUGUUCCUUCCACGAAUUCCUCUCUAUCCUUCAGAGGAUGAUGUUCUCCCCUUCAAGUUUAAAAGAAAGCAAUUUCCAAUUCGGCUUAGUUUUGCCAUGACAAUCAACAAAGCCCAGGGUCAAACCAUCCCAAAUGUUGGCAUCUAUCUUCCUGAGCCGGUGUUCUCUCAUGGCCAACUCUAUGUCGCUCUGUCUAGAGGGAUAUCAAGACAAACAACUAGAGUACUUGCAAAGCCAAAUAAGGAUAUUGACCCAUCAGGGAAAAGCACAAAAAAUAUUGUCUACAGGGAUGUUUUGGUAUAA